ensembl:lncRNA
GUUUUUUUUAGGAUUUUUUUUUUUACAGAUUAAUUAUUUUUCUCCAUUUCAAACUAAUUUAUCAAACAAUGCACAUCGAUAUAUUAUAAAAAUUGGAAAAAAAAAGAAAUACCCCAAAACGUCAAUACUACUGCUACUACUACUAUUACUACUACUAUACUGCUACUAUUACUACCACUACUACUGCUUAAGUCAUUUUAUUUUACCCAUUUACACAUUUUAAAGGCACUGUACCAGAUUUGUACUGUCUUACAAAUGUGAAAAACAGAACUAGUUCAUAUUAAACUCUAAGGCUAACAACAGGUAUCAUGCUAACACGCACUUCCUGAUUCUCGGACAAUAAGACGCUUUCUAAUUAGACACGGACAAUACACACCUGACCUAUUUUAACCUCAAGAGCUGCUGCUUGUACAGUAAAAUGCAAAAUCAGGUACAGGGCCUUUAACUUUGAAGAGGUUUGUUUUUUGCAGUGUACGUACGCACACCGCACGUUGAGAGCCACUGCUGCUGUUUAUCUACGGGGCUGAACUUUGAGCCAAGGAUUCCGCUGUUUGGACACGAGAGCCAGUGUUAGCGGAUGCCUUAAUGCUAUGGUCAGCUGUGGUCAUGUGUGUAGUCAGCGGUCACUAACUUCACGAGCGAGGUCUAUGUGACUCUGUGGGAGAUUCACUGUUUUUGAAUGAAAUCUCCAAACUUGAUCCACAAAUGUUGAAGUUUAUGUCUGUGCGAUUGGGUCCACAAACUUACAGAACAGAGGUGGUAGAGUAGAUAAAAAUUAUACUCAAGUAAGACUAACGCUACUUCAAAAUACUCAAGAAGAAGUACAAAGUAGUGGUCCAAAAAGUGACUUGAGGAUUUGGGAAGAGGAAACCACAACUUUUACUGUUACUUCAAUACAAAUAUUACUCAAGCGGGGGUAAAACUAUGCCCGUAGAAAAGUACAAUUUCUUUAAAAAAGUUACUCAGUCAUUGUACAUGAGUACUACCCACCUCUGCGUAUGAAUUUUAUAGUUUAAAAUCCCUUAAACUGACAACAAUCACGUCAUGGGGUUGAAAAAUGGCAGUUUUCUGAAGCUAAUGUGAAAAAAUCAUGACUUUUGUUGAUUUAUACUGACACAUAAGACCUUGAACUUUGUACCAGUUUUUGUUUCAUGUGGAUAGGCCCAGGAAUUACACAGAUAUUAACCAUAAACCAGGUCAACACAUCUGAAAAUCUGACAGUUACAUAGAGAACUCUACCUGAGGAUUCUGACCUGUCUCACCUCAGCUUACACUAUUGGGAUUCUACAAUGUGCUGUUAGUUAUACAUUUGUAAUAACACUCACCAGCUACUAACCUCCUGACACCAGCCAAGUAAUGUGCCAAAUUAACAAAUGACUAUAUGUUUUUCGCUGUUAUGAAAAAGUAUUACCAAGUGCUGGACAUUGGUAGCUGGCUCAGAUCUCGCAAUGUUUUGUUUUGUAAAAUUGCACUUGUUAUUUAUGUGAAGGUUUUGGGGGAGUUGACUUGCCCACCACAGUGUAUGUAUGACGGACACUUUAUAAAGCUAAAACAGAUUUGAUUCAAAAUGCUCUUGUGUUUUUUUGUUGUUUUUUUUUUAUUCAUUUUGAAUGUAAGGCAAAGCAAGGCGGGUUUAUUUGUAUAGCUC